rnacentral:tRNA from 1 species
GCUCCUAUCGUUUAAUGGUUAAGACAAUGCUUUUUCGUGGUAUAAAUGUGGGUUCGAAUCUCACUAGGAGUA